rnacentral:rRNA from 1 species
AUUCCAGCUCCAAUAGCGUCUCUUCCCUUUGUUUCCGUUCCCCCGCUCGUAGUUGGAUUUCUGGGAGGGUGCCGCCGUCCGGCGUGUCCGUGUGCAGUGGCGCCCUUCCAUCCUUCUGUUAGCGUCUCUUGGCAUUCAUUUGCUGGUGGCGGGCUCAGAUAUUUUACCUUGAGAAAAUUAGAGUGUUUCAGGCAGGCUAGGCCGGAAUACAUUAGCAUGGAAUAAUGGAAUAGGACUACGGUCUCUUUGUUGGUUUGAGGGACUGCAGUAAUGAUUAAUAGGGAUAGUUGGGGGCAUUAGUAUUUAAUUGUCAGAGGUGGAAUUCUCAGAUUUGUUAAAGACUAACUUAUGCGAAAGCAUUUGCCAAGGAUGUUUUCAUCA